rnacentral:rRNA from 1 species
GACGUAGGGUGCGAGCGUUGUCCGGAUUUAUUGGGCGUAAAGAGCUCGUAGGCGGCUCGUCGCGUCGACCGUGAAAACCCGCGGCUUAACUGCGGGCUUGCGGUUGAUACGGGCGGGCUAGAGUUCGGUAGGGGAGACUGGAAUUCCUGGUGUAGCGGUGAAAUGCGCAGAUAUCGGGAGGAACACCGGUGGCGAAGGCGGUUCUCUGGGCCUGUACUGACGCUGAGGAGCGAAAGCGUGGGGAGCGAACAGG